UACGUAGGGGGCAAGCGUUGUCCGGAAUCAUUGGGCGUAAAGAGCGUGUAGGCGGCUCGAUAAGUCUGCUGUGAAAGUCCGGGGCUCAACCCUGGAAGGCCGGUGGAAACUGUCGGGCUAGAGUCCGGAAGAGGCGAGUGGAAUUCCCGGUGUAGCGGUGAAAUGCGCAGAUAUCGGGAGGAACACCGGUGGCGAAGGCGGUUCUCUGGGCCUUACCUGACGCUGAGGAGCGAAAGCGUGGGGAGCGAACAGG
rnacentral:rRNA from 1 species